AGUGUUGUGCCAGAUGAAUGGGUUAUCUUGAUGAGGUAAAAUAUAGGUUAUUCCUUAACACUA
rnacentral:tRNA from 1 species